rnacentral:sRNA from 1 species
ACGCCCUGCACCGGCAGAUGAAGCUUCUGGGAGAGGACAGCCCGGUCAGCAAACUGCAGGUCAAGCUGGAGCCAGGAGUGAAUCCCAGCCACCUGAUGAACCUGUUCACCUACGAGAAGGGCUACUGCUUCGUGUACUACCUGUCCCAGCUCUGCGGAGACCCACAGCGCUUUGAUGACUUUCUCCGAGUGAGCAGCCCCCUGCCCGGGACAGCCCUGCUGCCAUCUGCCCCCAGCCCCUCCCCAGCUCACAGGGCUGCCUGCUCUUCUGGCAGUUGGGGUGGAAUUGGCAGGGGCCUGUGAGCCUGGCUGGGACCUAGUCUGCCUUUCUUUGUGGGGAGUGCCUGGGUUGCCACCUCCCCUUCUCCCACCCUCUAUUUGGUCCCUUGGCAGGGCCUGUGUGCCAAGUGCUGGCUCCGCAGUGCCCACUAGCUGCCUCUGUGCCCAGCACGUACCUUGGCGCAUGCGCUGCAGUGCCCUGCAGGCCUCUGGUGGGGCUGCCUGUGCCCCGCCCCUCCAGGCCUGCUGAGGCCCCACCUCUGCCACACAGGCCUACGUGGAGAAGUACAAGUUCACCAGCGUGGUGGCCCAGGACCUGCUGGACUCCUUCCUGAGCUUCUUCCCGGAGCUGAAGGAGCAGAGCGUGGACUGCCGGGCAGGGCUGGAAUUCGAGCGCUGGCUCAAUGCCACAGGCCCGCCGCUGGCUGAGCCGGACCUGUCUCAGGGAUCCAGCCUGACCCGGCCCGUGGAGGCCCUUUUCCAGCUGUGGACUGCAGAACCUCUGGACCAGGCAGCUGCCUCGGCCAGCGCCAUUGACAUCUCCAAGUGGAGGACCUUCCAGACAGCACUCUUCCUGGACCGGCUCCUGGAUGGGUCCCCACUGCCACAGGGUGGUGAUGAGCCUGUCCAAGUGCUACUCCUCCCUGCUGGACUCGAUGAACGCUGAGAUCCGCAUCCGCUGGCUGCAGAUCGUGGUCCGCAACGACUACUAUCCUGACCUCCACAGG